ACAUAUAUUUAAAAAAAAAAUAAAUCAACGAUUACAUAUAUAAAAAUAAAUUACUCGACAUAUCUUUCACAAUAUAUUUUAUCGAAAUCCAUAAAGUGAUCUUUAUUAAAAAUAUUUUUUAAAUAUAUUUUUAAUCAAAUAUGCGGAUAUUUGAAAGCAAAACUUUCAAAAACAAUUAAAUUUAGAGUUUUGUAAAUCUAUAUAUCGUUAAAAAUAGAAAAAAGAAAAGAAUCAGUUAUUAUAUUUAUGAAAAAUAUUUUCAACAGUAAUCAUUUGAUCUUUAAAUUUAUUAUCAUUCAUAAAAAAUAAAAAAAAAAAAGAAGAAAAGAAAAAGAAAAAGAACUUAAUUGUCGCAUAUGAUCGAUCUUUUAAUCGUUCCGGUUAGAUACGAAACGAAACUACGCGGUUGGUGACCGAGCGAAAGGAGGGGAAUUCCCUCGUCCUCUCUUCUCUUGUUGCUCGGCCGACGGCCUUGAGAGGUCACUUUACUGGAACCGUUCGCUGAAUACCUGGCGAAGAAAGGAACUGGAACGUAGUAGAGGGAACUGGUAUUCCGACCAGGCAUGAUAAUAACGUCUCCGUAUUUCCAGCGAGUCGUCAUUUUCUCUUAGGCAAACGCGUAUCGCCUUGCUAAUUCACGCUCCACGUUUCAUCAUUCCCUUAUCAUUCGUCGAACACUUAUAUUUUUUAUCCUCUUCUUUUUUUCUCUUUUUUCCUUUUUGUUUUUAUCUUCUCCUUUCCUUUUUCUUUUUUCAUUCCUUUGAUUAUUCGUAUCGCAUACUUGAAUUUAAGAGACUUGUAUCGAGUAAAUGACGCGAAAUAUAUACUUGUGCUACGAUGCAGUGUAUACUGAGAUUGCGCGAAACUCGUUGGACUACAAGUUUUUCUCUUGAUUGUACAGCAAACCAACCUUCCAAGGACAUUACGAGACUACCAGUUGUCAGACAAAAUAGCUGGACUUCUUUUCCUUUCCAUUUCGAAGUCAUGGCGCGUAGAAAUGUGUCCGUGAUAUGUAGGUCGUCAAAAAAAAAAAAAAAAUGGGACGAAAGUUGACUGACGCAAAUAUGCUUCUGGCGAGAUAAAUCGUUUUACAUGAGUCUUUUUUUUUCAAUUUUUAUUUGUUUUUCUCUUAAAAGAAUGAAUGAUAAUCGGAAUGCGUGAAAUCUUUUGAAAUUGAAUAAAAAAAAUACAUCAUAAGUUUUUAAAUUCAGAUAUUUUGAUCGAUUUAUAAUACAUAAUUAUAUUAAAUUUUUGAAUAUGUAUUAUAUUUUAUGAAAGUGUAUAAGAAUGAAUAAUUAAUAAUGAGAAAUAACAUUCAUUACCUUCUUAUAUAGUCAUUAAACCAAUAAAUAAAAUUAUUUACUAUACAAUUUAAUAAUAAUAAAUACACGAACUAAUGUAAUAAAUACACGAUCUAUUAAUUUAUGUAUCAUGUUAUUAAUAAAGUUGAAGUUAUUAAAUUUUAAAA